rnacentral:rRNA from 1 species
GAUGAACGCUGGCGGCGUGCUUAACACAUGCAAGUCGAACGGGAAACCUUUUAUUGAAGCUUCUGCAGAUGUAGCUGGCUUCUAGUGGCCGACGGGUUAGUAACGCGUGGGUAAUCUGCUUUCUUCAGGGGGAUAACAGUCAGACAUGGCUGCUAAUACCGCAUCAUCGCACAGAGCUGCAUGGCUCAGCGUGUGAAACUCCGGUGGUAUAAGAUGGACCCGCGUUGGGUUAGCUGGUUGGUGGGGUAAUGGCCCACCAACGCGACGAUCCAUGGCCGAGCUGGGAAGCGGACCGGCCACAAUGGGACUGAGGCACGGACCAGACUGCUACGGAAGGGAGCAGUGGGGAAUAUUGCACAAUGAGGGAAACCCUAAUGCAGCGGCGCGGCGUGAAGGGAGAAGUAUCUCGGUAUGUAAACUUCUAUCAGCAGGGAAGAUAAUGACGGUACCUGACAAAGAAGCCCCGGCUAACUACGUG